rnacentral:rRNA from 1 species
UACAGGGGGUGCAAACGUUGCUCGGAAUCAUUGGGCGUAAAGCGCACGUAGGCGGUUACUUAAGUCGGAUGUGAAAGCCCUUGGCUCAGCUGAGGAAGUGCAUCCGAAACUGAGUAGCUAGAGUACGAAAGAGGGUCGCGGAAUUCCCGGUGUAGAGGUGAAAUUCGUAGAUAUCGGGAGGAACACCGGUGGCGAAGGCGGCGACCUGGGCCGAUACUGACGCUGAGGAGCGAAAGCGUGGGGAGCGAACAGG